AAAAAAAACAGUGCAGGAGCUAGAGGGAUGUGGUGUGUCUUACAGGUUCCCCCCACUUCCACCAUCACCACCACCUCCCACCACACCCAGCCACCCACUCACUCACACAGCUACUGGGCAGAUCCGCAGAGCUGUAAGAAGCCUUCAGUAAUUAUAUGGGAUACUUAAUAUCAAACCCAACUACUUCAGAAUGUCCAGGAAAUGAAUCAAUCCAAACGAUGACGCUGCCCUGCCUUGGAUUCCUUGAUUUUGAAGGGUUAGCAUUGAUUCUGUGUGAGGUGCUUGAGGUUAUGGACUAUACAUCAUUAAUCAGAACCACUGCUCUAUCAAAUAUCCACUGCACCAAUACAGCCAGCAAUCCUCCUGCCAGCACCUCCCUGCAUGGGACAUAGUGUAAUAAUAAUCCACACACCAAUAGCACACAGUGCGGACACAUUAUUAAUGUACAGGAGGAGACACUAACGACAACAGACAUUGUCUGAG